rnacentral:rRNA from 2 species
UACCCUGAACGGUGGAUCACUCGGCUCGCGGAU